UACAAUGCUCACAGUACUUAAUAAGCAUUCUUAAUUGAAUUGCAAAUGAUUGACAAUAACCCACAUAUUAACAAUAAUCUAUGAGCAUAAAGCGGCGAGCUGGCAGAAAUGUUAGCAUGCUGAGCAAAAUGCUUAGUGGUAUUUCGUCUGUCUAUAUUCUGAGUUCAAAUUACGCUGAAGCUGACUUUGCUUUUCAUCCUUUCAGGAUCGAUAAAUUAAGUACCAGUUGUGUACUCAGGUCGAUCUAAUCGACUGACCCCUCCCCACAAAUUUCGGGCAUUGUGCCUAGAGUAGAAAAGAAUAAUCUAUGAGCAUAUUGUGUCUCCUUUAUGUGUCUAUCAGCUUCAAAUCCUUUGAAUUAGAAAGCCCACCCAAUGUACUCAUUAUCUUUAUUGCACAUCACCAUAUAAAGCUUCACUAUUCCUUUACCAGAACUGUGUUCCUCUGGAAAUUUUUCUUGAC
rnacentral:lncRNA from 1 species